AGAGUUUGAUCCUGGCUCAGGACGAACGCUGGCGGCGUGCUUAACACAUGCAAGUCGAGCGAGGCCCGCCCUUCGGGGCGGUGUCCUAGCGGCGAACGGGUGAGUAACACGUGGGCAACCUGCCCUCAGCUCUGGGAUAAGCCCGGGAAACCGGGUCUAAUACCGGAUACGACCUCGGGAGACAUCUCCUGCGGUGGAAAGAAUUUCGGCUGAGGAUGGGCCCGCGGCCUAUCAGCUUGUUGGUGGGGUAACGGCCCACCAAGGCGACGACGGGUAGCCGGCCUGAGAGGGCGACCGGCCACACUGGGACUGAGACACGGCCCAGACUCCUACGGGAGGCAGCAGUGGGGAAUAUUGCGCAAUGGGCGAAAGCCUGACGCAGCGACGCCGCGUGAGGGACGAAGGCCUUCGGGUUGUAAACCUCUUUCAGCUCCGACGAAGCGCAAGUGACGGUAGGAGCAGAAGAAGCGCCGGCCAACUACGUGCCAGCAGCCGCGGUAAUACGUAGGGCGCAAGCGUUGUCCGGAAUUAUUGGGCGUAAAGAGCUCGUAGGCGGCUUGUCGCGUCGGCUGUGAAAACCCAGGGCUCAACCCCGGGCCUGCAGUCGAUACGGGCAAACUAGAGUGUGGUAGGGGAGACUGGAAUUCCUGGUGUAGCGGUGGAAUGCGCAGAUAUCAGGAGGAACACCGGUGGCGAAGGCGGGUCUCUGGGCCAUAACUGACGCUGAGGAGCGAAAGCGUGGGGAGCGAACAGGAUUAGAUACCCUAGUAGUCC
rnacentral:rRNA from 1 species